CAUGUGGUGUAAGAAGAAGUUUUAUUUCUGUAUGUGGUCAAAGAGCGGUGAGAACACAGUGAGGCACAAAGCAGGGGAGCCCAUGGGCUCUUGGGAAAUACACCUUAGAGCCUUCUAGGGGAGAGCGCACCAGCCUGCUGUGAACAUUUCAGCUCGUCAGCCUGGGAAGCAAAGACCGGGGUGUCCAAGAAAGGAUGCAUCAAGCUGGGGUUUUUCCUUGGCUUUUGGCUUCUUGUUUCCUCUGAAAUCACGUGUCUCAGCAUCAGGAGGCCAGGUCAGCAGCAGCCUCCAGAUCCCUGGCCACAGCCAGAGCGCCCGGACUGCAAACCACCAUCACCAUCGCAGGAGUCGGAGCUCUGGCGCCGGCAGCAGUGGGACCUGGGGCGCCUGUGGGGGCCUAGGCAGCAGUUGCCCUCGGACCUGGGAGCACAGCCCGAGGAGGCUGGAGGCAGACACCGUACUGGGCUCUUUGGGGGGCAUUUGGGGGAGGGGCACUUGGGAGGGGGCUGGCACUGCUGCUGGUUCUGCUGGCAGGACAUCUCAAUGGGAAGUCAGUGAGCCUGGACACAUUCAAGGAGAAAAGAUCAGUGCACAAGCUCCAGGCCAGUGUCUCCCCUGUGAGCGGUCUUACUAGGGCCUAUGCUCCUAAUCCCAGCUGCCUCCUGAGUUGUGAUGUUCAAGAGGAAAGCGGAAAUGGAUCUCAAGUUCAACUGACCUGGCAAGACAGUUCCCUCACUCUCUAGUCCUUCCCAGAACCAUGCUGUCAUCCUCUAAGUGGGCCCUGUAGAAACACAGAGGGAAAUACACCCACUGGGAAGUGACCCCUGGAGGAUGUCUCUGGUGCAUGUGUGUUUCAGGAUGAAGCGUGGGGGUGGUGCUGAGAGCCAUGUGUCCCAGACCCCAAUGCCUCCCACACUGGUCCUUGCUCACUGUCCCCUGCCCUGUUCCCAGUUGCCCCCCAAAGUCUGAUUCUUGCUGCCUCCAGAGACACCUCUGCUUUCCUCUUCCCCACCAACCCCAAGUUUGUCUCCACCACACUCCUAGCUGAGGCUCUGUCCCCUUCCAGUCACUCACCGCUGCAGUGGAGGCAGGAGAAGGAUGCUCC
rnacentral:lncRNA from 1 species